rnacentral:rRNA from 1 species
GAUGAACGCUGGCUGUAUGCCUAAUACAUGCAUGUCGAACGAUGUAGCAAUACAUUAGUGGCAAACGGGUGAGGAAUAUACAGGAAUCUCCCGGGCAGUAAGGAAUAACUUCGAGAAAUCGAAGCUAAUGACAUAUAUCACCCCCUAUGUACAUGUAGGGGGGGAAGAUUUAUCGCUGCCCGAUGAGCCUGUAUCGGAUUAGCUAGUUGGUGGGGGAAAGGCCUACCAAGGCGAUGAUCCGUAGCUGGUCUGAGAGGAUGAUCAGCCACACUGGAACUGAGACACGGUCCAGACUCCUACGGGAGGCAGCAGUGGGGAAUAUUGGACAAUGGGCGCAAGCCUGAUCCAGCAAUACCGCGUGAGUGAUGAAGGUCUUCGGAUUGUAAAGCUCUUUUAGUAGGGAAGAUAAUGACGGUACCUACAGAAAAAGCACCGGCAAACUUCGUGCCAGCCGCCGCUGUAA